UGCAUGUCUAAGUAUAAGCAAUUUAUACAGUGAAACUGCGAAUGGCUCAUUAAAUCAGUUAUCGUUUAUUGAUAGUUCCUUUACUACAUGGUAUAACUGUGGUAAUUCUAGAGCUAAUACAUGCUUAAAAUCUCGACCCUUUGGAAGAGAUGUAUUUAUUAGAUAAAAAAUCAAUGUCUUCGGACUCUUUGAUGAUUCAUAAUAACUUUGUCGAAUCGCAUGGCCUUGUGCUGGCGAUGGUUCAUUCAAAUUUCUGCCCUAUCAACUUUCGAUGGUAGGAUAGUGGCCUACCAUGGUUUCAACGGGAAACGGGGAAUAAGGGUUCGAUUCCGGAGAGGGAGCCUGAGAAACGGCUACCACAUCCAAGGAAGGCAGCAGGCGCGCAAAUUACCCAAUCCUAAUUCAGGGAGGUAGUGACAAUAAAUAACGAUACAGGGCCCAUUCGGGUCUUGUAAUUGGAAUGAGUACAAUGUAAAUACCUUAAGGAGGAACAAUUGGAUGGCAAGUCUGGUGCCAGCAGCCGCGGUAAUUCCAGCUCCAAUAGCGUAUAUUAAAGUUGUUGCAGUUAAAAAGCUCGUAGUUGAACUUUGGGCCCGGUUGGCCGGUCCGAUUUUUUCGUGUACUGGAUUUCCAACGGGGCCUUUCCUUCUGGCUAACCUUGAGUCCUUGUGGCUCUUGGCGAACCAGGACUUUUACUUUGAAAAAAUUAGAGUGUUCAAAGCAGGCGUAUUGCUCGAAUAUAUUAGCAUGGAAUAAUAGAAUAGGACGUUUGGUUCUAUUUUGUUGGUUUCUAGGACCAUCGUAAUGAUUAAUAGGGACGGUCGGGGGCAUCAGUAUUCAAUUGUCAGAGGUGAAAUUCUUGGAUUUAUUGAAGACUAACUACUGCGAAAGCAUUUGCCAAGGACGUUUUGCAUUAAUCAAGAACNRAAAGUUAGGGGAUCGAAGAUGAUCAGAUACCGUCGUAUUCUUAACCAUUAACUUNNGCCGACUAGGNAUCNGGUNGGUGUUUUUUAAUGNACCCACUCGGCACCUUACGNNGAAAUCAAAGUCUUUUGGUNNUGGGGGGAGANNUNGUCNGCAAGGGCUGAACCUAAAGGAAUUG
rnacentral:rRNA from 1 species